UAUGUGAUCGUCUCUCGCAUAUCAAUAAGCGGAGGAAAAGAAACUAACAAGGAUUCCCCUAGUAACGGCGAGUGAAGCGGGAAGAGCUCAAAUUUGAAAUCUUAAAGGGUUUCCCUUUACGAAUUGUAGUUUAAAGAAGUGUUUUCUGUUGAGGUUUUGGUAAAAGUUCUUUGGAAUAGGACAUCAUAGAGGGUGAGAAUCCCGUAUUUGACCUUUACUUUCAACUUUGUGAUACACUUUCAAAGAGUCGGAUUGUUUGGGAAUGCAGUCCAAAAUGGGUGGUAAAUUUCAUCUAAAGCUAAAUAUUGGCGAGAGACCGAUAGCGAACAAGUACCGUGAGGGAAAGAUGAAAAGAACUUUGAAAAGAGAGUUAAACAGUACGUGAAAUUGUCAAAAGGGAAGCGUUUGACACCAGUGUUGUUUUUCUGAAAAUCAAUUAAAGAACUGUUUAUGCUAAGCUGUUUAGACUUUAUCAGCUAACUGUUUAGUUUUUUGAGCUUUUCUUUAAUGCACUUUUCAGUUAACAAGUCAACAUCAAUUUCUUUUGCUGUAAAAAAGCUUGAGGAAGGUGGCUUGAGAUUCGUCUUAAGUGUUUAUAGCCUCUUGCCUAUGCAGUCGGAGAGAUUGAGGUCUGCAGCGUAGAUCCUUCGGGGCUAAAUGCAUUUGUGCUAAGUUAUAACAUUUUAUAGACAACUUGUUGACUAUGAUUUGUCUUGUAGCUUACUCGCUUAUGUUAUUUUACCUACGCUUAGGAUGUUGAGUAGCGACAUACGCAC
rnacentral:rRNA from 1 species